rnacentral:rRNA from 2 species
AAACCUUUUUUCUCAGGGAAGAAAAAAAUGACGGUACCUGAGGAAUCAGCAUCGGCUAACUCCGUGCCAGCAGCCGCGGUAAUACGGAGGAUGCAAGCGUUAUCCGGAAUGAUUGGGCGUAAAGCGUCCGCAGGUGGCUGUGUAAGUCUGCUGUCAAAGAGCGAAGCUCAACUUCGUAAAGGCAGUGGAAACUACACGGCUAGAGUGCGUUCGGGGCAGAGGGAAUUCCUGGUGUAGCGGUGAAAUGCGUAGAGAUCAGGAAGAACACCGGUGGCGAAGGCGCUCUGCUAGGCCGCAACUGACAACUGAGGAUUGGAAAAAUA